rnacentral:lncRNA from 1 species
CCCUUACAGAUUUACCCUUUAGUCAGCUUGGGUGCACAUUCAGUAAUACCGUAUACCCCUUACAGAUUUACCCUUUAGUCAGCUUGGGUGCACAUUCAGUAAUACCGUAUACCCCUUACAGAUUUACCCUUUAGUCAGCUUGGGUGCACAUUCAGUAAUACCGUAUACCCCUUACAGAUUUACCCUUUAGUCAGCGAGCAAUGCUAUUGUAGAUGCACUUUACGCUUGCUUACGGUGCUCAUCUGAAUAUUUGAACAGCCAUUCCCCCCCCCAUUAUAUAAUCACGUGCUCAUGAAUGGAAAGAUGAUCUUUUUCCAAAAACAAGCGGGUGUGGGACUUCUCCCUCUGUCUUAAAGGGAAGUGUGUUUUUGACUGACAUCAGCAUUUCUUUUUGUGUGGAGAAUAAAAGGAAUGAACGUUUCACCAAGCAGAACAAGUGGACUACUUGGUUGAUUUGAAUGCUGAAAGAACUCUAAAUGAUUUCACUUGUAUGUUCAUUCUGCUAGUGGGGGGGAGGGGGGGGGGGUAGCCUAGAUUUCGUUGUAUCAUUUCUGUUCACGUCACAGUGAAGAAGAGACAGGAUGGUCCUAAAUUAGCCCUAGAUCAUAAUUGAAUGCUUGUUGCCUUGCUGACUGGAUGUUGGUAUAAGCUGGGGGUUGGUGCCCUGAAGUCUAGAAACCAUUUUAUUUUUUAUAUAUAGAUGAAGGUACAAUUUUGAUCACUCACUAGGUACUGUAGACUACCUCUGGCUCUGUUUUAUUACUAUAAUGAUGCUUGUUUAUUUUGGUGGGUUUUAUGUUAGUCAGCUAGGUGCCAUGUUAGCAGAUGAUCUGAUUUCUAGAACUGUAGUCACGGUGACAGACUGUUUGGCUUACCUGCUGUAUCUGAGUUCAGAGAUCUAGGACGGUUUCGUGGUAACUUGAUGGUCAGGCAGGCACGUGGAUGUGUUAUGUUGAUAGAAUAAUGCAUAUAUGAAUCGAUAUUCUGAUAUAAGGGCUUGGUUUCCAUUAGUGUGUGUGUGUGUUUUAGCCAGGUAAUGUGUGUGUUGUGUGUAAAUGGUUUUGCGUAGUGAGUGUGUUCCUUCUUGGUGAUGGUAAUGAAAUGGAACUCUUCACAUUUGAGUUCAUGUAACCAGGGUUGGAUUCACUUACAAUGGUUUUUGUCAUUGAGAAGCAUUGAGGAGAUUUGGAAUUUCAAUUUAUUUCUUCAAUUUACUGAACUAAAUAUUACAGUAAUAUUGUUGCCAUCAUUGAAUUAUCCCAUUUCUCCAUGUCAUUUGGGAUUACAAUUUUUGCCACUGUUAGCGACUCUAAUAUGCUUUUGUGGUUAUAAAAGGAAUGGAAAAUGUAGAAAGAAUCUCCCCCAAGUGCACAGAACAUUUUGUUAAUAUUUUCCUCUCGUUCUUUAAUUUCAUAUUUAUAUCAAUGUGAAUAUGUAUUUAUAAACUCAACUUGAAUUUUUUUCUUAUACUAAUUAGAUUUUCAUUCUAUAUAAGAAUUUAUAGAAAAAGGAAUUCCCUACAAUUUUAUAGCCUGGUUGAACCAGAUUGAAAGCUGCGUUGCAUUCACCAACCAGAAUCCAGUCGGGUUUAACCAGCCUAACCAUUCUAUCUCUUGUUGACCAGAAUCCAGUCGGGUUUAACCAGCCUGACCAUUCUAUCUCUUGUUGACCAGAAUCUGGUCACAAAUUCCUCUCCGAUGUUCAACAAUUUGAAGUGAUUAGGAAAGCCCGUCUUUCCAUGCUUAUUAUAACACAUAGGAUGCGUCCCAAAUGGCACCGUAUUUCCUAUGUAGUGCCAGAGCCCUAGUACACUAUAUAAGGAAUAGGAUGCCGUUUGAGACGUAACCGUAGAUUACACACUGCUUAUUCAAAAAAAAAAAUCAUUUUUUUUUUUUAUAUGAAUGCAUGGAAGAGUAUGUUAUGUGAAUAUUUUGAAAAUACAGAUUUAAUUUUCAGUUUUAUUGUAACAUGGCUUUUUAAAACAUGUAUGUUCGAUAUGAAAGCUUUGAUAUAAAUUGUGUAUAUAUAAAUAUAUAAUGCAACUGAACAACCAACCUGUUGGGUUGGUGCCAUUUGAGGAAAUGUUUUAUAUUCUGGAAGUUUGACAUUCACCUAAACUUGAAUAAAAGCAAUAUAAAUAUGGC